rnacentral:rRNA from 1 species
GACGAACGCUGGCGGCGCGCUUAACACAUGCAAGUCGAGCGAGAACCAGGGCUUCGGCCCUGGGGACAGCGGCGAACGGGUGAGUAACACGUGGGUCAUCUGCCCUCGGCACCGGAAUAGCCCGGGGAAACCCGGAUUAAUGCCGGAUGGCCCGGCUGCUCUACGGGGCGGUCGGAAAAGGUAGCUUCGGCCUCCGGCCGAGGAUGAGCCCGCGGCGGAUUAGCUAGUUGGUGGGGUAACGGCCCACCGAGGGGACGAUCCGUAGCUGGUCUGAGAGGACGAUCAGCCACACGGGGACUGGGACACGGCCCAGACUCCUACGGGAGGCAGCAGUGGGGAAUCUUGCGCAAGGGGCGAAAGCCUGACGCAGCGACGCCGCGUGAGGGAAGAAGGCUUUCGGGUUGUAAACCUCUUUCAGGAGGGACGAAGCCACUCGGGUGAAUAGCCCAGAGGGUGACGGAACCUCCAGAAGAAGCCCCGGCUAACUACGUGCCAGCCGCCGCGGUAAUAC